GAUGAACGCUGGCGGCGUGCCUAAUACAUGCAAGUCGAGCGAACAGACGAGGAGCUUGCUCCUCUGACGUUAGCGGCGGACGGGUGAGUAACACGUGGAUAACCUACCUAUAAGACUGGGAUAACUUCGGGAAACCGGAGCUAAUACCGGAUAAUAUAUUGAACCGCAUGGUUCAAUAGUGAAAGACGGUUUUGCUGUCACUUCUAGAUGGAUCCGCGCCGCAUUAGCUAGUUGGUAAGGUAACGGCUUACCAAGGCAACGAUGCGUAGCCGACCUGAGAGGGUGAUCGGCCACACUGGAACUGAGACGCGGUCCAGACUCCUACGGGAGGCAGCAGUAGGGAAUCUUCCGCAAUGGGCGAAAGCCUGACGGAGCAACGCCGCGUGAGUGAUGAAGGUCUUCGGAUCGUAAAACUCUGUUAUUAGGGAAGAACAAAUGUGUAAGUAACUAUGCACGUCUUGACGGUACCUAAUCAGAAAGCCACGGCUAACUACGUG
rnacentral:rRNA from 1 species